AAGGGAUUCGUUAUAAAUAUCUUUGAAUUAGUCCUUUAACUAUCCCUAUAUUUAGACGUCUGUCAACAUGGCUGACUCCCAGAAGCAUCCGUUAAUUUUAUACCUCAGUAAUCCUGCACCACCAGAGACCGCUUUAAAAUGUAAAAUUAUUCGAUCAGCAGCCAAGAAGCAGAACGACAAGUCCCGAGGACAGACCCGAGUAAAUUUAAGUGUUUCGUUUUUACGAUGGCGCGUAAAAUUCUAUCUCCCCUUCCUAUCGCUGUGAUUUACUUACUGUUUGAGGUUUCUGCUCUUUGCUCCGUUGUCAGUUUAGUUGACAUUUCACUGAUCUUAGUAGGAGUAGCACUUAUUUGAUUUGUGUCCUUCAAGGCAGCUGUCAAUGUUCCCUUUAGGCUGCGUUUUUAUUUUAUGGCGGUUUGAUCGCGGGGGAGGCACUAGUAAUAUCUGCACUUUUCGGUUUGGUUAUUUGUUUUAAGUGUAUUCGUCUAAAGAAAUCUGCAAAAAUUCGUUCUCUCCCAUGUCUUAUUCGAUUGGUAGUUGUUCCGAAAUGUUUAUUGCUUGCCUACAUUUUACUCCCUCCUUUAUGUUUAAUAUAACACACAUCCAUUAUUAAUGUCGGUUGACGUGAAGUUUGUUCUAUAGAAAGUAUUUGGCAAAGUGAUUUAUUUAUACACUACACUUGAAACAAAUAGCCAAAUCGAAAAUGGCAGACAUUACUAGUGCCUCCCCCGCGAUCAAACCGCUAUAAAAAUAAAAAAACGAAACGCACCCCCUCCGAAAUUACGCAGAAAUUCACAACGGAGUGAAGAGCAGAGAUCUCAACUAGCAAGCAAGUCGCAGCGAUGAAGAAUUAAGUUUGUGCGCAUUCAUGUCUACUAGGGGGAGAGAAAUCUGGCAAGGGGGAGAUUUUCAGCACAACACCGGAAUUUAUAUGAGAUGCCCUCAAAUGUUUUGCAUACAAGCAAUUCCAUGGUAAAGGAAUUGCGCUCAGACACUGAUUUUUCACUUAAAAGUCUGCUGUCCCCACAUGCUUCAAGGUGUCCACCAUUGUUCCUGUACACAAGUAAGCAAAGGUAACUGAACAAUAGAGCCAUUGCACUGCCCUAUCCCAUCUGGACAGAGGGAAUAGCUAUUUAAGAAUGCUAUUCAUUGACUACAGCUCAGCAUUCAACACCAUAGUACCCUCCAAGCUCAUCAUUAAGCUUGGGGCCCUGGGUAUGAACCUUGUGCAACUGGGUCCUGGACUUCCUGACGGGCUGCCCUCAGGUGGUGAAGGUAGGAAGGAAACAACACCUCCACUUUGCUGAUCCUGAAGAGAGGCCCCACAAGGGUGCAUGCUCAGCCGCCUCCUGUAUUCCCUGUUCACCCAUGACUGCGUGGCCACACAUGCCUCCAACCCAAUCAUCAAGUUUGCAGACGACACAACAGUAGUAGGCCUGAUUACCAACAAUGGCGAGACAGCCUACAGGGAGGAGGUGAGGGCCCUGGGAGUGUGUUGCCAGGAAAAUAACCCUCACCAAAAGUCAACAAAACAGAAGGAGCUGAUCGUGGACUUAAGGAAACAGAGGAGGGUGGUGCGGUCUGCCCAACGCAUCACCGGGGGCAAACUACCUGCCCUCCAGGACACCUAGAGCACCCGAUGUCACAGGAAGGCCAAAAAGAUCCUCAAGGACAACAACCACCCGGCCACUGCCUGUUCACUCCCUAUCAUCCAGAAGGCGAGGUCAGUACAGGUGCAACAAAGCUGGGACCAAGAGACAGAAGCUGUUUAUCAAUCUCAAGGCCAUCAGACUGUUAAAUAGCCAUCACUAGCACCUUAGAGGCUGCUGCCCUAUAUACAGACUUGAAAUCACUGGCCACUUUAAUAAUUGGAACACUAGUCACUUUCAUAAAUGUUUACAUAUUUUGCCCUACUCAUCUCAUAUACCGUAUUCUAUUCUACUGUAUUUGUCUAUGCCGCUCUGACAUUGCUCAUCCAAAUAUUUAUAUAUUCUUAAUUCUAUUCCUAAAUUUGUGUGUAUUGUUGUGAAAUUGAUAGAUAUUACUUGUUAGAUAUUACUGCACUGUUGGAGCUAGACCCGCAAUAACAUCUGCUAAACACGUGUUUGUGACCAAUACAAUUUGAUUUGACUACUUUUAACCGUUUACAUAGACAUUUUAACAAAAACACAUUAUCUGGAAGAACUGUGCAGAUGCAAAAAACACAUUACCCCAUCCCUAGUAAACACAGCUGAUUUAAAUGAAUUGCAUUCUAAACUGAAGAUCAUGAUUAGUUGAUUAUUGGAGGGGUGUGUGUGUGUGUGUGUGUGUGUGUGUGUGAGUGAGUGAGUGUGUGAGUGAGUGAGUGAGUGAGUGAGUGAGUGAGUGAGUGAGAGAGCUGGGGCUAAGUGUGGCACCAAUCAGGCCCCUCUGAGGACUGGAGUUACCCAUCCCUGAUGGAGUGUCUGCAGAUGGAAGGAAGAAUUGCAAAGGAAUAAAGGGUUGUUACUGUGGAGAAGAACAUGAGGUGACAUCCUUGGAAUGCCCAAAUAGGGUGAGAGAGAUGGAGGUGGACAAAAUUCAGGGCAGUUCAGUCUGUCUCUUAUGCAGAGGCAGUAAGGAGAGCAGAAGGCCCCAUGGUAUUGGGCGGCAGGGUAGCCUAGUGGUUAGCGCAUUGGACUAGUAACCGAAAGGUUGCAAGUUCAAAUCCCUGAGCUGACAAGGUACAAAAUCUGCCGUUCUGCCCUUGAACAGGCAGUUAAACCCACUGUUCCUAGGCCGUCUUUGAAAAUAAGAAUUUGUUCUUAGUGAAAUAAAGGUACAAAAAUUGAACAACAGGGGAGCUAUACACAACAUGCACCGAGGCAUGCGUGUCACCAGCUGGAUCCAGAAAUGCUUCAAGUGAAGAACGGCACUGUGCAAGUAGGCCACACACGCUCACAGAACGGGACUGUGAGUGCUGAAGCAUGUAAAAAUAGGUAGGGUAGCCUAGUGGUUAGAGUGUUCGACCGGAAGGUUGCAAGUUCAAACCCCCAAGCUGACAAGGUACAAAUCUGUCGUUCUGCCCCUGAACAGGCAGUUAACCCACUGUUCCUAGGCCGUCAUUGAAAAUAAGUGACUUGCCUAGUUAAAUAAAGAUAAAAUAAAUAAAAAAUCUAUCAUUGUGAACAUCAACUGCAGCUGUUUCAGCCGUGUGAGCAGUGCAGCUGUGAGUGUGAGCCAGACGCAGGGAGACAGGACAUGCCUCUCUGUGACCCAACACUGCCAGAGCUGCAACCACCACAGGACAUGGGCAAGCAACCAGUCUGUUUUCCAGACAACACACAGAGGAAAAAUGGGGAAGAGCCACAGAACACCCAUGUUGGUAUUUCAGGAUUAACAGUUGAUAUUGUGAGGUAACUAACUCUCUUUUAUAUUCUGUGUGCUCAGAAUAUAAAAGAGAGUUUGUUACCUCACAAUAUCAAUAUCAAUAUCAACACCCCUACUCUUACAAUAAGUGCCAUGGGAUCUUUAAUGACCUCAGAGAGUCAGGACACCAGUUUAACAUCACAUCCGAAAGACAACACCCUACACAGGGCAUUGGGAUAUUUUUGUAGACCAGAGGAAAGAGUGCCCUCCAACACCACUUCCAGCAGCAUCUGGUCUCCCAUCCAGGAACUGACCAGGACCAACCCUGCUUAGCUUCAGAAGCAAGCCAGCAGUGGUAUGCAGGGUGGUAUGCUGCUGUCAAAAAAUAGCAUUUUAAUGCAUGACAUAAGUAUUUGAUACAUCAGAAAAGCAGAACUUAAUAUUUGGUACAGAAACCUUUGUUUGCAAUUACAGAGAUCAUACGUUUCCUGUAGUUCUUGACCAGGUUUGCACACACUGCAGCAGGGAUUUUGGCCCACUCCUCCAUACAGACCUUCUCCAGAACCUUCAGGUUUCGGGGCUGUCCCUGGGCAAUACGGACUUUCAGCUCCCUACAAAGAUUUUCUAUUGGGUUCAGGUCUGGAGACUGGCUGGGCCACUCCAGGACCUUGAGAUGCUUCUUACGGAGCCACUCCUUAUUUGCCCUGGAUGUGUGUUUCGGGUCAUUGUCAUGUUGGAAGACCCAGCCACGACCCAUCUUCAAUGCUCUUACUGAGGGAAGGAGGUUGUUGUCCAAGAUCUCGCGAUACAUGGCCCCAUCCAUCCUCCCCUUAAUAUGGUGCAGUCAUCCUGUCCCCUUUGCAGAAAAGCAUCCCAAAGAAUGAUGUUUCCACCUCCAUGCUUCAUGGUUGGGAUGGUGUUCUUGGGGUUGUACUCAUCCUUCUUCUUCCUCCAAACAUGGUGAGUGGAGUUUAGACCAAAAAGCUAUAUUUUUGUCUCAUCAGACCACAUGACCUUCUCCCAUUCCUCCUCUGGAUCAUCCAGAUGGUCAUUGGCAAACUUCAGACGGGCCUGUACAUGCGCUGGCUUGAGCAGGGGGACCUUGCAUGCGCUGCAGGAUUUUAAUCCAUGACGGCGUAGUGUGUUACUAAUGGGUUUUUUUUUAGACUGUGGUCCCAGCUCUCUUCAGGUCAUUGACCAGGUCCUGCCGUGUAGUUCUGGGCUGAUCCCUCACCUGCCUCAUGAUCAUUGAUGCCUCAUUGAUACCCCACAAGGUGAGAUCUUGCAUGGAGCCCCAGACCGAGGAUGAUUGACCGUCAUCUUGAACUUCUUCCAUUUUCUAAUAAUUGCGCCAACAGUUGUUGCCUUCUCACCAAGCUGCUUGUCUAUUGUCCUGUAGCCCAUGCAAUUCUUGUGCAGGUCUACAAUUGUAUCCCUGAUGUCCUUACACAGCUCUCUGGUCUUGGCCAUUGUGGAGAGGUUGGAGUCUGUUUGAUUGAGUGUGUGGACAGGUGUCUUUUAUACAGGUAACAAGUUCAAACAGGUGCAGUUAAUACAUGUAAUGAGUGGAGAACAGGAGAGCUUCUUAAAGAAAAACUAACAGGUCUGUGAGAGCCGGAAUUCUUACUGGUUGGUUGGUGAUCAAAUACCAAUGUCAUACAAUAAAAUGCAAAUUAAUUACUUAAAAAUCAUACAAUGUGAUUUUCCGGAUUUUUCUGAAAUUACAGACCUCUACAUGUUUUGUAAGUAGGAAAACCAGCAAAAUCGCCAGUGUAUCAAAUACUUGUUCUCCCCACUGUAUGUGCUGCUGGGACUGUUUCUUCUAUCCUGAUGCCUUGUCACCUUAACCCUAUACACAUCUACCUAUCACUACAGUGUCCCUGCACAUUGUAAAUAUGGUACUGGAACUGCUUGCUUACUUUUUCGUGUUCUUAUUUCUUAUGUUUUUGUUCUACCUUGUUAUAUUCAGUAUUACAUUUGUUAUUGACUACUGCAUUGUUGGGGUUAGAGCUUGCAAGAAAGACAUUAAAUUGUGCAUGUGACAUUGAAACUAGUCUGCCAAUAAACCUUGAAGAAGAA